ACAAACGAACGACUUUAAGUGUUCACACAGUUUGUUUGAUGAUUGUAGGCAAUGGAAGAACAAAGGAAAAAGUGCAAGGCAAAGAUAGUAUCUUUACAUGUUGUCCCCAUCGUCUAGAGGCCUAGGACAUCGCUCUUUCACGGCGGUAACCGGGGUUCGAAUCCCCGUGGGGACGCCAUUUAAAGAUGAUUAUCCGUCUUAUCUGUUCUUUAAAAAUCCGGAAACAAGCUGAAAACGAGACUUUCAAGGAAGUCUGAGCGCAGUGAUUGAGAAAGGCGAUUACUCGACUUUAGUUUAAAACUGUUAUUAAUCGCAGCGCGGGGUAUGCCACUUAUGGUGAAUAUACUAAUAUCCUAUGAGAGGGCAAGAAUACUUGAGGUUGUAU
rnacentral:tRNA from 1 species